rnacentral:rRNA from 1 species
UACCAGCACCCCGAGUGGUCGGGACGAUUAUUGGGCCUAAAGCAUCCGUAGCCGGUUUUACAAGUCCUCCGUUAAAUCCAGCUGCUUAACAGAUGGGCUGCGGAGGAUACUAUAAGACUAGGAGGCAGGAGAGACAAGCGGUACUCAGUGGGUAGGGGUAAAAUCCGUUGAUCCAUUGAAGACCACCAGUGGCGAAGGCGGCUUGCCAGAAUGCGCUCGACGGUGAGGGAUGAAAGCCGGGGGAGCAAACCGG